rnacentral:rRNA from 1 species
ACUGCUCAGUAACACGUGGAUAACCUGCCCUGCGGUGGGAAAUAACCCCGGGAAACUGGGGAUAAUGUCCCAUAGACUACGGAUACUGGAAUGUUCUGUAGUUCAAAGAUUUAUCGCCACAGGAUGGGUCUGCGGCCGAUUAGGUAGUUGUUGGGGUAACGGCCCAACAAGCCUUUGAUCGGUACGGGUUGUGGGAGCAAGAGCCCGGAGAUGGAUUCUGAGACACGAAUCCAGGCCCUACGGGGCGCAGCAGGCGCGGAAACUUUACAAUGCGGGAAACCGUGAUAAGGGAACUCCGAGUGUCCGUAAAUGCGGACUGUCCGUAUGUUUAAAAAGCAUGCGAAGAAAGGGCCGGGCAAGACCGGUGCCAGCCGCCGCGGUAAUACCGGCGGCUCGAGUGGUGGCCACUAUUACUGGGCUUAAAGCGUUCGUAGCUGGGUUGUUAAGUUUCUUGGGAAAUCUACCGGCUUAACCGAUAGGCGUCCAAGGGAUACUGGCAAUCUAGGGACCGGGAGAGGUGAGGGGUACUUCAGGGGUAGGAGUGAAAUCCUGUAAUCCUUGGGGGACCACCUGUGGCGAAGGCGCCUCACCAGAACGGCUCCGACAGUGAGGGACGAAAGCUGGGGGAGCAAACCGGAUUAGAUACCCGGGUAGUCCCAGCCGUAAACGAUGCGCGUUAGGUGUAUCGAUGACCACGAGUCAUCGAGGUGCCGAAGGGAAACCGUGAAACGCGCCGCCUGGGAAGUACGGUCGCAAGGCUGAAACUUAAAGGAAUUGGCGGGGGAGCAC